GUAGGGAAUAUUGGGCAAUGGAUGCAGGUCUGACCCAGCCAUCCCGCGUGCCGGAAGAAGGCCCUCAGGGUUGUAAACGGCUUUUGACGGUGAAGAAUCGACAGGAUGCGUCCUGUUUUGACGGUAGCCGUUGAAUAAGCACCGGCUAACUCCGUGCCAGCAGCCGCGGUAAUACGGAGGGUGCGAGCGUUGUCCGGAUUUAUUGGGUUUAAAGGGUGCGUAGGCUGGCAGGUCAGUCAGCGGUGAAAAGCUGUCGCUUAACGAUAGUCUUGCCGCAGAUACUUCCUUUCUUGGAUGAGGAGGAGGCCACUGGAACGGAUGGUGUAGCGGUGAAAUGCAUAGAGAUCAUCCAGAACACCGAUUGCGAAGGCAGGUGGCUGUACCUUAAUCGACGCUGAUGCACGAAAGCAUGGGGAGCAAACAGGAUUAGAAACCCGGGUAGUCC
rnacentral:rRNA from 1 species